rnacentral:lncRNA from 1 species
AUGGCUGUCGCUGAGGGAGACCAGCCAGAGGAAGGACAUGUGCCAGCCCAUGGAAACGCCACAGCCAAAUCUGUGCUUCCACUGUUGAGAAAUCAUAUUGAAACUCUGCAAACGGACGUCAGGGAGUCACCAGCCCCUGGGCCUCACGGCCCUGCAUCUCAGCCACAGACUUGGAGACUCCCUGAUGUCCACGGCAGAGCUGGCUGGGGACGAUGGAGUGAAGAAGCCAGGCUUUGGCUCUGGGGGAGGCCUGGUGAGGAGUCUGGGUAUGUGGGGGUGCAGGGGCAAUGGCCUCCCCAGGCUCCAGCAAGGAUGCAGGCAGACAGGCCCUGGGCACCUUCAGGACUCACUCUCCCUGACGCCUGGUGGCCUGGGUUGGAGUCGCAGUACUGCUGCAUGAUCUUGGACAGGUUGCUUAACCUGCCUCACCCAUUUCCUCCCUGCAGAGCAGGGAGGAAAGCACCCACCAUCGGGGGUGCUUGGGCCUCGAGUGAUCAUGUGGGUCCACCACGCCUGGGCCAGUGUCUGCAGAGCCCUGCAGGGGAGCAGUGGGCACUGUUGACCUGGCCUUGGUCAGGGGCUGAGGAUUUAGCAAGCUCUGACCACAGGUCCUGCCCCCAGAGUGGACGGGGCUCCUGUGGACAGGAGCAGCCCCAGGGGCCCCAGGGUAGAAGGGCUGGGGACACCAUGCAGGGAGGUGGGAGACAGGAGAGGCUGGGAGGCUGCAGGAGCUGUGCCAUGGGAGCUGCUGCCUGUGUUGGGUCUGGCAGCCCAGGGGGUCCUGAGGGUUCUUCUGCCCUAGAGCAGCCCUGGCCUGGGGGCGGGGCAUGGAAGCUGAGGGGCUGGAGCUGCUUCAGCCCCAUAUUCUUGCCCCCACCUCCGAGUCUCCAUCCUGUGGCUCAGCAGCUGCUGCUGAGCCUGUGCUGGGGGCGGCCUCAGUUGGGGGUGCUGAGGGCCCUCUCCCCUCUAAGAGGUUCAGCCACACAGAGCACCGUCCUGUGCACCUGCUGCUUCCUGGGAUGCCGGCACCGCGGGUCUCUCCACUGAGGCAAAGCGCUGGGGACAGCAGGGAGCCCCACGGGUCUGCUCUCCAAGGACCCUCCAGAGGUCCUCCUCUGUCGCUGUCCACUACCCUCCCCGGGGCGCACUCAGAGGUCGACGUGGAGGUGGAACCCGGCUGGACCCUGAGAGGCAGGGGCACCUGGGCCUUCCCUCCCCAGGCAGGCGGCAGGGCCUGGGCUGUCACUGGAUGCUCCGGGUGGGCCAGCGGGGAGGUGGCCGACCAUCGGG